AGAGUCCUGAAGUGUACGUUACAUUACCUAAAUAUUGACCGAACAUUAUUUCUUCGGGAGUCUGGAGUUUUCUGGCAGCGUAAAUGCCCCGGCCCGAGCGGUAAGGGGACUUACAAAUCUGGAAGCAGGACACCCACCUGCUAAAUGCGGGAUCAAUAUGAAGGAACCCAAAAGUGACGGCACGAUUGGGACUCUU
rnacentral:other from 1 species